UACGAAGGGUGCAAACGUUGCUCGGAAUUAUUGGGCGUAAAGCGUACGUAGGCGGCUUUGCAAGUCGGAUGUGAAAUCCCUCGGCUUAACCUAGGAAGUGCAUCCGAAACUGCAGAGCUUGAGUACUUAAGAGGAUCGCGGAAUUCCCGGUGUAGUGGUGAAAUGCGUAGAUAUCGGGAGGAACACCAGUGGCGAAGGCGACUGCCUGGCCUGUUCUUGACGCUGAGGCGCGAAAGCGAGGGGAGCAAACGGG
rnacentral:rRNA from 1 species